rnacentral:misc_RNA from 1 species
GAUGAAGAACGUAGUGAAAUGCGAUAAGUAAUGUGAAUUGCAGAAUUCAGUGAAUCAUCGAAUCUUUGAACGCACAUUGCGCCCCUUGGUAUUCCGAGGGGCAUGCCCGUUCGAGCGUCAUUAUACCCCUCAAGCCUAGCUUGGUGUUGGGGCCUGCUGUUACCGGCAGCCCUUAAAAUCAGUGGCGGUGCCAUCUGGCUCUAAGCGUAGUAAUACUUCUCGCUACAGGGUCCCGGUGGAUGCUUGCCAUCAACCCCUAAUUUUCUAUGGUUGACCUCGGAUCGGGUAGGGAUACCCACUGAACUUAAGCAUAUCAAUAAGCGGAGGA